rnacentral:lncRNA from 1 species
GAGGGAGCGUCCGCGGCCCGCGCAGAGCCGCGCACCAAGUCGAUGGCCGUGGACGCAGCAGGGCCCCGCGGUCUGCGUGCGGGCAGGCGCUCGUGGGCGUGUCUCCCUGGCCCACGCGUGUCCCCGGCAUCAGUGUCUCGGCUCUGGUCCAGGACGAAGACUUCUGAAAGCAAGCCAAGGAGAAUCGCAGUUCUUACCGGAGGGAGCCCCUGACUGCCCGGUGGAAGGAGGUGGUUUAGAAGACAGUGAGUUGAUCUGGGGGCAAAGCAAAGCAUCGGUAGUGCCUUCCAUCCCCUCACUUUACACUGCAUGGCUGUCUUCUCCCACGCAUGAAGCAACAUGGCCAAGUGAAGCUGCAACCAGUAAAGUGUAAGGUAUCAGGUAUUGACAAUGAUGGUGCCAAAUAA